rnacentral:rRNA from 1 species
AGUGAACGCUGGCGGUAGGCCUAACACAUGCAAGUCGAACGGCAGCACAGUAAGAGCUUGCUCUUACGGGUGGCGAGUGGCGGACGGGUGAGGAAUACAUCGGAAUCUACUUUUUCGUGGGGGAUAACGUAGGGAAACUUACGCUAAUAUCGCAUACGACCUACGGGUGAAAGCAGGGGAUCUUCGGACCUUGCGCGAUUGAAUGAGCCGAUGUCGGAUUGGCUAGUUGGCGGGGUAAAGGCCCACCAAGGCGACGAUCCGUAGCUGGUCUGAGAGGAGGGUAGGCCACACGAGAACUGAAACACGGACCAGACUCCUACGAGAGGGAGCAGUGGGGAAUAUUGGACAGUGGGCGCAAGCCUGAUCCAGCCAUACCGCGUGGGUGAAGAAGGCCUUCGGGUUGUAAAGCCCUUUUGUGGGGAAAGAAAAGCAUCAGGUUAAUACCCCGCUGUUCUGACGGUACCCAAAGAAUAAGCACCGGCUAACUUCGUG